rnacentral:rRNA from 1 species
UACGGAGGGUGCGAGCGUUGUCCGGAAUCACUGGGCGUAAAGCGCACGCAGGCGGUCUGUUAAGUCAGAUGUGAAAUCCCCGGGCUUAACCUGGGAACUGCAUUUGAAACUGGCAGGCUUGAGUCUUGUAGAGGGGGGUAGAAUUCCAGGUGUAGCGGUGAAAUGCGUAGAGAUCUGGAGGAAUACCGGUGGCGAAGGCGGCCCCCUGGACAAAGACUGACGCUCAGGUGCGAAAGCGUGGGGAGCAAACAGG